ensembl:lncRNA
GCGAGAUCUCGCCCCCCCCCCCCAUGCACACGCACGCACACAUCCUCCAACCACACACGCCCAUAUUUUGCUCCAUUGCGCUUUAUUUCACACCUCAAACAUUUAGUAAACAAUUAAGCAAAUACAAGUAACCUGCAAUAAAUUAUAGGUAGUAAUAAAAUAAACUACUAACUCUUUUACGCUUCGUCCACACCUACACGGUAUUUUUGAAAACGCAGCUGUUUCGUUCACACGUAAACGCUGUUUUGAAUCACCGAAAACGGAGAUUUUUUAAACUCCUUUUUUUCAUUUACAUGUGGACGAUGAAUACAGAGUUGGUCGCAACGUCAAAGGUAUGCGCCUUUUUCAUGUCACGCACGUUAUUUUUUUACAUGAGAUGAACUGCAGAAUGGCAGAUAGAGACGAAAUACUGUUAAUCUGACUAUCUUCAGGUUUUACACACUUGCAUAUACACACGCAGUUACUGUCCUUCCAUUUAGAAAGACAGAUGCGUCAUGGUGUGAUUAUUUUACAAGUCGUUUUUUUUUCAUGUGUAAUAAUAUUCAACAUUGCUAUCAAUACAUUUUUCAAAAAAUGCCUCUCUGUGCAAAAUGUGUUUAAAAACAUAAACAACUGUGGGAUCCUGUUUGUCUGUGAUUUGAACAGGAGGGAAAACCAAUUCUGCAGGGAGACCUACCUCGGCACUUGUGCAGGUGAAACCAAAGGGAAGAUAUGCUUCACCAUAUUUUCUAGUCUUUGGCUUAGAAUGAAGUUGGUUUGGAAACAUAUUCAGCUAUGCUUCAUCUCCUGCUUUGCGUUUCUGUGGGCGCUCUGUGCUAGCAGUGUCCAAGCGUUUUGUUUUUUUCCCCCCCUUUUCAUUUGCAUAUUAGUCAACUGAAGUUGAACUGAGCCCCACACUUUGGGAAGGUCCGCUUUAGUGAGAGUCAUGCACUCCAUUCUGUCUGGGUUAGACCAAGCUUUCACCUUAGCCUUGACCCAUGACAGUGUACGUAGUGUAGAUCAACUUAUCCCCAGGACACUGAAACAGUGUAAAGUUCCACAUGCAUGCGGCUUAAGAGGAAGAGAAUGUAACCCUCUCAAAGUUAUCCACUGCUAUUCAAGCCAGUUUUAAUGUUUAAUAUAUGCAGUACCAAUUUUAUCCAGCAGAGGGGAGUGAUGGCACUAUAGUUGUCUUGCAAAGCAUUAUGAGGUAAUAAGAAUAAUUGCAGUGCAAGCAGAUAGAGAGCAAGCCAGGAAAAAAAACAGAGCAUAAAGUAUUCACCGGAGUAAAUAGGAACUUUAAAAAAAUAAGUGUUAAGGUUUUGACAGAUAAAGACUUAUGGAGAUUUGCUCACCAUACAUCCCAUUCUCCAGUUGUUGUUUUACUUUGUUGUGACAUAAUGCGAGAAAUAGCACCAUAUUUUACUGUUUUCUUUUUCCUUUCCUCACCAAACCAGAGUGGUUAGUGGAGGCUUUUAUUAAACAGUUAUUCAACAGUAAUGCACUAAUACAAAAAUUAUUAAGCAAUUUAUUUGUUCUUAUUCUGCUCACAACCCCAUAGGAGCCCCCAAAAGCUCAAAAAUAGUUGUAAUUUCACAGCUGAUCUUAGAGACUUGCUGGUGUCCAAGAGGAGGUCAGCUUCCCAGUCAAUCUCAGAAACCUCCUGGCUCCCAAGCUGUUGAUAACUGGAUUCACAGAAUGCAGAAGCCAUUUUAAAGCUAAGCUGCCCUUAUUGGCUGUUUUUCCUGGCCAGCAGCCUUUGGAGAGUCUACUGUAUAACCAAACAAUCUUUUUACACUGAAACUGAUAUCCCUUGUCAGUAUAUAAGUACCUCUCAAACAAUGGAAUUUGAAUGUAAAAUUAUAGCACACAGGGGCAAGUCGAGAAACUACUAAUUACUCUCAAACACAAUAAAAGUUGCCAUAAGCGCAGUAAAUUAAAAAACAGUUCAAGAACUUCAGUUGACUAAUAUGCAAAUCUUGCAUGUCUUUAAACUUUAAAAUGUUUUACUGAUUACUCUUGUAACCAAUGGAGUUUUCUGUUACUUCAGGUUGCUACACUGUGGCAGACGUGUAGAUAAAAGCUGUAAUCUUAAUUGAUAAAGUCUAACACAAACCCAGUCAAAGAAACUAAGACAGUGAUAGGCUACCAACUUAUGAUUAGACACAUUUUGUCAUGAAAAGCUUCCAAACAGAAAAAUUACCCAAAAACUAAGUAUUAACUUAAACCUGUCAAAAACCAAAGCAUGUUGGUUGACUAUAAGUCAGAAUGAGAUUUCAGAUGAUCCUGUUGUGUUGAGGUGUAUUUAAGGGUGAUGACUUCAUUUGCCUUUGGAAGGUAACAUCCUAUACCUGUUAAAAAAAAAUUUAUAUUAUAAUGGGACAAGCCGGACUGCGUGCAUCAAAUGUCUGACCUCAGCUUAUCUAACACAUUGAAAGAAUGGUUCACUCACCAACAUCAAGUGAGGUUAUACCACUCAGCAGUUGCCAGUAGUGUGAUGAAUUUCCUGUCAAGCCAUUCACACUGAUGAGGAAUGGUCCAUAGUCAUCAUUUACUUUGUAUUCAAAGCUGUAAACACAGGGUAUGACUUUUCAUGGACAAAAUUAUGCACAGUUUUUGAAAUAACUGUGAAGCUCAAAAGAAGGUUAUUGUAAUUGCAAAAGUACAAGAGCACCGACACUCUUGAGAACUCAUAAAGACUUAUGAAACAUCAAUGAAAGGAAGGCAUUUUGUUGAAGCUAAAGAUGUGAUGUGGUUUUUGACUGUCCUCUAAAUACAUGCAGGUUUCUGUAGUUUACGAUGAUCAGAUGAAAGUGUGAAGAAUUGUUUGUAAAGGUCAGCAAAGCUGUUUCAUCUUGACUAAAUGUCAACAAAUAGCAGAAAACAAUUGGUCAUCUGACAAUCAAAAAUCCACACCCAGAAACACAGGGUCUCAAUUAGAAUUACACAUUGAGAGAACAAGAGAGACUGUAUAGCUUCCUCUAGAAAAGAAAUAGCUGAUUAGAUGGUCUUACUCAAAGCCUUGGUCUGACAUUUUCAGUCUUAUCAGUCCACCGAAGAGGCUUCCAUUAGGAGCAGUAAAAGUGUUGUAGUUCUUAAUGCUAAAGGGUGGCGUAUUAACCACCACUUUGAACUACACUGAAGCUUACUUCGAGCUGACUGCCAAACACAAACCAGCAGCAGCAGGGCUGCAGAGAGGAGAACAGGCUUCUUCAUUCUGACUGAGCCGGCAAAAGCUGACGACUGUCCUUAGGCCAUUCAGGUUUGUGACUGAGCUUCUUGGAGGUGAGACAUAUGUCUCAUGUUCAGUGGUUUUACCUGCUUACUGCCACCUGCAUCACACCAUGGAGGUCUCCAAUGAUGACCCAGACUACAUGGUGAAAUUUAAGACUGCCUUUACAAAGAACCUAUUCCAACAUGUAGCUACACUCAACCAUCAGUGGCUCAAGGGGGAGAGGGAGAAGAGGUUUGGAUCAGCCUUGACGUUACUGCAGGAACAGUGUAAAGAUGCCACCACAAAGGAGCCAGCAAAGACAAAGAGCCUCCUCCUCUCUUCAAUGUCUCCAGACUCUGAUUCAGAUGAUUCAGAUGAGGAAGCCCUGUGUAACAGGGCCCUGAGCAGAAUCCACCAUCAGCGAUAAAGACUGCCCACUGCAGUCUAAUACAAUUAUCUAAUACAGUCUAACACAAUUAUCAUUGUUGUUUGUUGAAUCCUAAUGGCAACUGUAGUGUGUAAUCAGGUAUAAACACUUUAUUUACAAGACAAAACAUCUGUUACAGGUCAUAACAGAGUUUAAAUGUGAAGCUGGUCAAAUAACCUUUCAUGUUUCUGCCUUAGUUUUUUAAGAAGAAAAACUGCAAUUUAUGUUGAAAAUGUUAUUAUUAUUAUAAGAGACACUACCAUUUUAAAAAUGUACUUAAAUUAGCAUUUUAUUUUUUUAAAUUGAGUCCCACCCCUACUAAUUAAUUAAUGAAAAGUGUUAUUAAUUAAACAAAAUUUAAAAUAAACACAUUAUUAAAUGAUUUAAAUAAAACAAAUAUGCAUCUAAUUAAUUAUUGAACUAUUUAUUUAAUUAAUUAAUUACAAUUUUAAUUAAGCAGUGAAACAUUUAAAUUAUUUAAUAACAUAUAUAAUUAAUAAAUUUUGUCCCUCAUGGCCUUCCAUAAAAGACAAGCCCCAGCUAGACUAAUUUAAAAUAACAAAGAACAAAAUGUUUCUCACCACCUUCAGCUCAACCUCUUGAAGAUGAAAGCCUGAAGUUCUCACAAUUUUUUCCUGACCAUCGAAAUAAAUCAGGAUCUGUAAUCUGAUAUGUAAACAUAUAAAUGUCUGAGUAUUGACUAGAAUGUAACAAAACAAAACAAAAAACACCCACCAACGUCACACCACCCAAAGAAGUUCAAUAUUUGAGAACACUAAUACAAAAAUUCACAUUGUAAAAAAACAACUAGUGACAGUUUCUGAAUGGUAUCUAAAUAUAUUUCACAAUAAUGCAAAAGCAUGUAGAAUACAUUAAAUUUUUUGUCAUAAAAUAAAAAUGCUAUUCUUAUUCACUUUUCAAUUGUCUUGUUAAUAGUAAACACAUCAGAAACAAAUAUCAAACAGAAGAGAUACAAACUAGAGGAAUAUAUACAAAAGAAGAGAAAGGCACACAAUGGAGAGCAAAGUGCUUGGAAGCAGUGGAAAAGGACUUGGUCUAAUAAUGAGUAAGCUGAAGAGGAAAUGGGUUUGCGCUCAUCUAGAAGAUCUUCGUGGUUAGGGGAGUUGGCUGGCCCAUCCUUAACACGGUUCUGUUUUUUCCAUCCCAUUGUAGAAAAGUGUUUGUUCAUAUGGGGCUGUUUGAUUGUGGGGGUGAUUUCUCAGAUGCUGAGCAGUCCAUGAAUUAACCUGAGGUCAAAGACAUUUGUGCAGCUGCUGAUGAUCUUUCCAAAGACGCCACUGCUACCUUUUUAUAGGGACACUGUUAACCUGCCUCAAGAAUAUAGAUAAAACACUUUGGCUAAUAACAGUUCUCUCCUAAAUGUAACAGUUCUUAGUAGCUUCUUAGCUUUGUUGUUAGUUGUCAGAAUACUUUUACUGUAAACUAAAUGUUAGUUUUGCAGUUUGACCCAGGGAUGUAAAACUCAAUUUACAUCAUGAGCCACUUACAAGCUACUUUGAUCCUAAGUGGGCCAGCCAGUGAAUUUACAUGAUAAAUGUGUAAAAUUACACAAAAAGUAAUUCAUUAUCCAGACUAUCCCAUAUUUCUAAAGAUCUAAAAGAUACUUUCUCCUGUGAAUUUAUAUAGUAGAGAAAUUUCUGUCAUUUAAUUGUUUAUCUAUUAAUUACUUUGCUGUAGUAUAAAUGAGGCGGGCUCUUUAUUAAUAGGAAAAGCUUUAAACUUAUGAAAAUACAGUUAGAAGUUCAAAAUCUAUGCACUCCUUCACAUUUUCCUGAGCCAUCCAGAGGGUCGGAAUGGAGUCUUUGACGGGCCGUGUUAAAUCUCCCAAUUCUUUUAUCUUUGGGCUGAAGGAAGAACAGCACUCGGUGUAUAAAUGCUCAAUCAACAAUCUCUUCAUUCCAUACGAUUCUCAUUAUUCCAUACAACACUUUGAGCAUAAACAUCCGGAUGGGAGAUGUGGACAGGAGGGUGUCCGCCAGAUCUGGAAGUGUAUGACUGUUUCUCACAUUCUUAUAGCUUCAGCCCCCCUCCAAAGUCAUAAAACAUAAACAUCCACAUUCUUUCUCUCUUACGGCGCCUAAGUGACGGCUUUGGCUUCCUGUUUUAUCUCUGCCUGAUGAGAUGGGGCAGAAAACCUCUACAGUAUGUUCUGUUCUCUUUGUAAUCAGAAAAGGAAGGCCAUGAUUCUACACAAGCAGCAUUUCUUAUAACUCAGCAGUAUAAUGCAUCAUAAAACAGUGUAAUGAUUUCAUAAUUUUUAAUCCAAGGCAUAAUGUGGCCUAUAGCCGUAUAAUGAUUCAACAAUUAUUUGAUUAGAAGGAUAAGGUGGCAUAAGAUAGUAUGAUAAUCUCACAGCCGUUUCUGGCCUCUGGCCUGAUUUUUGACACCCCUGGUCUAGAGCUGUCAUUGUUUUAGGAUACAUAAUGAUGGACAUGCUAACAACACUUUAAAUAAGCCUGUCUAAAAAUAAAACAAACCAAGGCUAGAAACAUUUUAUUUUGACUACAAGUUACAUGCUUUAUUUAAUGCCUGAGGAAGAUAACACUAAUAAUCAGUAACAUUUUAUUCAACAAUAAAAAUGCACUCAUACAAAAAUUAUUCAGCAAUGAAUUUGAUCUUAUUUUGCCACUCUAAUAAACCCCCAAAAGCUCAAAAAUAGGGGAGGUCAGCAGCCCAGUCAAUCUCAGAAGCCUUUUGACUCGCAAGCUGUUGAUAACUUGAUUUGCAGGAUAAAGAAGCUAUUUUGACAUGGAGUCAGCAGCUGACCCCCCCUGCUGUUUUUGCUGGCCAGCAGUCUCUGGGCAGUCUACUGUAUAACCACACCAUCCUUUUACAGUAAAACUGAGACCACUUGUAAGCAUCAAAUAUGGAAUUUGAAUGUAAAAUUAUGAUACAUGGGGGCAAGUUGAGAAACUACUAAUUGCUCUCAAACACAAUAAAAGUUGCCAUAAAGGCAGUAAAUUAAAAAACAGUUCAAGUUGUUGUAUAUGUUUUACUGACUGCUCUUGUGACUAAUGGAGUUUUCUAUUACUCCAGAUUACUACACUGUGGCAGAAUUGUAGAUUAACGCUGUAAUCUUAAUUCAUAAAGUCUGACAGAAACCCAGUAAAAGAAUCUAAGCCAGUGAUAGGCUACUGAUUUAUGAUUAGAAGACUCCCAAGCAAAAAAAUGACACAAGUCAAUUAUUCACCUCAACUUGCCAAAGAUCAAAGUGUAUUGGUUGACCAUGAGUCAUAAUAAGACUUUAGAUGGUCUUAAAUUUUCGUGUAUUUCAGGGUGACGACUUCAUUUGCAGUUGGAAGGUAGCAUCCCAUACCUGUAAAAAAAUGUAAAAGUUCAGAGAAUAUUAUAUAAUACGACAAGUUAGAUUGUGUGCAUCAAAUGUCUGACCUCAGCUUAUCUUACACAUUGUGAGAUUGGUUCACUCACCAACAUUGAGUGGGGUUGUACCACUCAGCAGUUGCCAGUAGUGUGAUGAAUUUCCUGCCAAACCAUUUACACUCUGAAGGAAUGGUCCAUAGUCAUCAUGUGGUAUGUACUGAAAGCUGGAAACAUAGGGAAUGACUUUUUAAAGAGUGAAGUGGACAGUUUUUAAUAUAACUAUGAAAUCCUUUUUAACAAUGCAAAUAGUUUCACUCUCUAUGUUUUUACACAGAACUCUGCAUUCAGUUAUUAGUUAUUAUUAAUCUCUGGCUGUUUUGCGUCUUUUGUCCUGUCUCCCUCCCCUCACACCCAGCAGGUCACAGCAGAUGGGUCCCCCUGAGCCUGGUUCAGUGCGAAGUUCUUCUCUGUUAAAAGGGAGUUUAUCUUUCUACUGUCGCCAAGUGCUUGCUCAUAUGGGGCCAUGUGAAACAUUAAUGAAAGGACGGCAUUUCUUAAAGCUAAAGAUGUUAUGUGAUUUUUGACUGUACUGUACAUAUACAGGUUUCUGUGGUCUACUGUAAGAAAAAAGUAUGAAGAUUUGUUUUUUUAAGAUGUCAAGAAACAUUCCAGGGCACAAUUAGUCAUCUGGAAUUAAAAAUUCACACCCAGAUAUACGGGGUCUCAAUUUUAAUUAAACAUUAAGAGAACAAAAGUAAAUGUAUGGCUUCUUCUAGUAAGGAAAUAGUUGAUGUGAUGGUCUUACUUGAAGCCUUGGUUUGAGUAUCUCAGUCUCGUCAGUCCACCGAAGAGGCUGCCUCUAUAAGCAGUAAAAGUGUUGUAGGUCUUAAUGUUAGUGGGUGGCACAUUCACUUGCACUCUGAAGUUAGUGUUACCCUGAGCUGAUGUCCCAACAAAAAACAGCAGCAGCAGGGCUGCAGAGAGGAGAGCAGGCUUCUUCAUUUCAACUGCAGGGCAAACAGAAAAUUUUGAUAUGCAAACAUGAACACAAACAUACGUUGUGGAAAGCAGUUCCUGAACACUGAGUAUCACCAUCCCAAAAUACAGCAUUUAUAAUGGAAUAAAACCUCUUCAUGUUUUAUUAUUAUUUUUAUUUGGUACGUGAGUUUAUCAAGUCAUCUAAAAGUGAGGUGUGCAAUAUUAAGGAAGUUCAACAAAGUUAAGCUUUUCUUGCUUGAUAAACCCUAAAGUCUAAGUUAGAGAUAAAGAGUAUCUCAUUAGUGGUCAUCAACUUUCCCUGUUAAGUCAGGCUUUCUGCUUCAGACUCUGAAUGCCCAGGAUUUCAUGUGUCAUGUUAUCCCUGUGAGUGUAGCCUACUCUAACCAGCGACGUUAGCAGAUGAUAAAAUGGUGACAAAAAUCUGUAAAAAACAUGAAAAAUGUAACAGAACCGCACAGAGCAGUAAAAUAAACAUUUUAAUUCAAGUAAACUAUUUUAAUUUUGACCGCUUUGGGUGCUGCCUUUUAUUUCUAAUAUAAAGACUGCAUGUUAGAAAUCUGAAACGUUAGACUGGAUACAUUUAAAUAUUAAAGGUUACUGUGCCUUUGAAAAAAAAGGAGACAUGGAAAUCGCUUUAGUAUGUUAGUAGAUCAAAGGUAAACUGCUUUUAUUUAUUAUCAAUGAUAUUUAAAGAUAUUCUUACCUUUUUCAAGUUCUGUUUUCAAUAAAUGUGUAAGAAUGCAGCCGUGGAGGUUGUAACUUUUCAGUUGAACAGUUCCUCCUCCUCAAGUUGAAGCUGAACUACAGAUUAGGAACUUUU